GCUCUCACCCAUGGCGUUUGCUGGUUAUGAGAUUUGCGGAACGUGUGGUGGUGGUAAAGGGCACCAACUGUUGUCAACCUGCAUGUGGGGGUCUGAGGUCUGGCUCUACAGCUUGUAAAAUGGAAAUAAUAAUGCCCAGAGGAUGAAAUUAGGCCACAUAGGCCGCUUGGCAUCAUAACCCUGCACUCAUUGGAUCAGCUGACUACCUAGACCAGUAACCUGGCUCAAUCAGUUCUGCCAUUCCACCCAGGAACAGAAAACAGCAAGAAAACCUCACUUUGACUCCCUGUGAUUCCGUCUUCAACCUGACCAAUCAGCACUCCCCGCUUCCCAAGCUCCUACUCGCCAAAUUAUCUUUAAGAACUCUGAUCCUCAAAUGCUCAGGGAGACUAAUUUGUGUAAUAAUAAAACUCUGGUCUCCCACACAGCUGGCUCUGCGUGAAUUACUCUUUCUCCAUUGCAAUUCCCUGGUCUUGAUAAAUCAGCUUUGUCAAGGCAGCAGGCAGGGUGAACCCACUGAGCGCUGACAUUGUGUGCCAAGCCAUGUUCUUGGGUCUGGAAAUAGAGCAGUGAACAAAAGUGUUUGUUCUCAUAUUAUUGACAGUAAAUAUCAGUUAUUCUGAGGCACAGAGUGGUUUAUUCACUGAAAAAUUUGCACUUUAGGCUGUGCUGGAAACUAUAUAUUAGGCAUUGAGCAUGCUUUACUAAACAAGCAGAUUGUUCUUGUCCUCUGUUUUGUUUUGUGACAGUCUUGCUCUGUCUCCAGGCCGGAGUGCAGUGGCCCAAUCUUGGCUCACUGCAACUUCCGCCUCCUGGUUUCAAGCGAUUCUUAUGCCUCAGACUCCCGAGUAGCUGGGAUUACAGGCAUGCGCCACCACCCCAGCUAAUCUUUGUAUGUUUGGUAUAGACAGGGUUUCACUAUAUUGGCCAGGAUGGUCUUGAUCUCCUGACGUUGUGAUCCGCCCCCCUUGGCCUCCCAAAGUGCUGGGAUUACAGGUGUGAGCCACUGCGCCCAGCCUGUUUUGUUUUAGAGACGAUUUUGCUAUGUUGCUCAGGCUGGGCUCAAGUGGUCCUCCUACCUCAGUAGGAGUAGCUGGGUAGUUGAGUAGCUAGGGCUACAGGUAUGUGCCCCCACAUCUGGCUAAUUUUUUGUAGAGGUGAGGUCUCCCUGUGUUGCCCAGGGUGGUCUCAAAUUCCUCCCACCUUAGCCUUCCAAAUUGCUGAGAUUACAGGUGUGAAGCCACCACACCUGACCUAUCAGUUUAUAGUCAGUGGUUAAGUGUGAUCCUCAGAUCAGCAGUAUCAGUAACACCUGGAAACUUGCUUGAAAUGCAAAUUUCAGACCCGCUUUACAUAGAUAAGAGCCAGAAAUUCUGGAGGUGGGGCCCAGCAAGCUAUGGUUUAAGGCCCUCCAGGUGAUUCCAUUGCUGAUUGAGAACCACUAGUCUAGAUGAAUAAUUUGCCAAAUUCAACUAAGAUAUGUUGAGCACCUGACCUAAACUGGUCCUCUGCUAAGCAUUUUCACAUGAUUCAUCCCACUUGACUCAUAUCGAUAUAGGAAAGUAAAUAUCCUCUGUCUUGCUUAAGGUUGCACCCACUAGGGCCGGGCAUGGUGGCUCAUGCCUGUAAUCCUAGCACUUUGGGAGGCCGAGACAGGCGGAUCACCUGAAGUCAGGAGUUUGAGAGCAGCCUGGCCAACCCUGUCUCUGCUAAAAAUACAAAAAUUAGCUGGAUGUCGUGGCACAUGCCUGUAAUCCCAACUACUCAGGAGGCUGAGGAAGGAGAAUCGCUUGAACCCAGGGGACGGAGGUUGCAGUGAACCAAGAUUGCACCACUGCACUCCAGCCUGGGACACAGGGCAACACUCCAUCUUAAAAAAAAGGUUGCACCCCUGAUAAGUGGUAGAUCCUAGAUUCAGUUUCUUUCUUCCCCCUCCCCCCACCUUUUUUUUUUUCUAUUUGAGACAAGGUCUCUGUCACCCAGGCUGGAGUGCAGUAGCAUGAUCUUGGCUCACUUCACCCUCUGCCUCCCAGGCUCAAGUGAUCCUCCCCACUCAGCCUCCCUAGUAGCUGGGACUACAGGCAUGUGCCACCACUCUUAGCUAACUAAGUUUUGUAUUUUUGUAGAGAUGGGGUUUCACCAUGUUACCCAGGCUGGUCUCAAACUCCUGGGCUCAAGCAAUCUGCCCGCCUUGGCCUUCCAAAGUGCUGGGAUUACAGGCAUAAGCCACCAUGCCCGGACCAUAGUUCAUAGUUUCUUUCUUUUUUUUGUUUUUUGAGAGUCUCACUCUCAAAAGGGGUAUGGGGCGGCUCCAGGGCCAGGGAUGGGACGGCCACAGUUGCGGCAGCUCCAGGACGAGCAAGUGGAUCCCGGGAAGCGCUGUGAGCUCCCGAGCCAGCCGGGAGGACGCUUACUACAGCUGCUCAGAAGCACUGCUGGAAGCUCAGAUGUGGGCGCCCCAGCCAGAAACCUAGAGGGGUACAGGGAAACUACCGAGAAGCCCCUCCUGAUGCCCCAGGGAGCAAGCCAACUCCUUCCAGGCUCCAGGAACACCACAAAGCAAUAUGAAACCUGUUCAUGAGAGGAGUCAGGAAUGCCUUCCACCAAAGAAACGAGACCUCCCCACAACCAGCUGCUCCACUAACCACACACCCUCCAGUGAUGCCUCUGAAUGGUCCCCAGGGGUUGUGGUGGCUGGGCAGAGCCAGAGUCCGCCUCGGGGUGAUGGAGCUGUGGCCAUCACCGGUCUGACAGUGGACCAGUAUGGCAUGCUGUAUAAGGUGGCUGUGCCGCCUGCCACCUUCUCACCAACUGGACUCCCAUCUGUGUGAAUAUGAGCCCCUUGCCCCCAGAAAAAAAAAUUUCAUGUACAGUUGAUUAAAGGGAAUGCUCCAUGGCUACUAGGAAUGAUGAAAAUGGGUUGGGCACGGUGGCUCACGCCUGUAAUCCCAGCACUUUGGUAGGCCGAGGUGGGCAGAUAACCUGAGGUCGGGAGUUUGAGACCAGCCUGACCAACAUGGAGAAACCCCAUGUCUUCUAAAAAUACAAAAUUAGCCGAGCGUGGUGGCUCAUGCCUGUAAUCCCAGCUACUCAGGAGGCUGAGGCAGGAGAGUCACGUGAACCUGGGAGGCGGAUGUUGCAGUGAGCCGGGAUCGUGACGUAACACCCUAGCCUGGGCAACAAGUGCAAAACUCCAUCUCAAAAAGAAAGAAUGAUGAAAAUGUCUGGGCAUAGUGCCUCACACCUGUAAUCCCAGCACUUUGGGAACUGAGAUGGGAGGAUUGCUUGAGUCCAGGAGUUCAAAAACAUAAUGAGACUUGUUUCUCCAAAAAAGAAAAAAAAAAGUUAUAGUUAUUAUUUAUUUAUUUUUGAGUCAGGGUCUUGCUCUGUCACCCAGGCUGGAUUUCAGUGGCAUGAUCUUGACUCACUGCACCCUCCACCUCUUGGGCUCAAGUGAUUCUCCUGCCUCAGCCUCUCAAGUAACUGGGAUUACAGGCACCUGCCAUCAUGCCCAGCUAAUUUUUGUAUUUUUAGUAGAGACGGAGUUUUACCAUGUUGGCCAGGAUGGUCUCAAACUCCUGACCCCAAGUGAUCUGCCUGCCUUGGCCUUCCAAAGUGCUGAGAUUAUAGGUGUGAGCUGCUGCGCCAGGCCAAAAAAAAAAAUUUUUUUUAAACUUAGCUGGGUUAGUCAGGAGGCCAAGAUGGGAGGAUCCCUUGAACCGAGGAGCUUGAGGCUGCAGUGACCUGUCAUUAGGCCACUGCACUCCCGUCUGGGCAACAGAGUGAGAUGCUGUCUCAGGAAAAAAAUAUUUUAAAAAAGUGAUGAAAAUGUAAUAUGUCAUUAGGGAACAUGUCCUAAUAAUGUAAUAACAUAUAUAUGUAGAAUAAGUUCAUUUUUAUAAAGCAAGUAUAUAAUUGUAUAAGAGUACAAAAAAAUGGCCAGGCAUAGUGGCUCAUGCUUUUAAUCCCAGCAUUUUUGGAGGCCAAGGUGGGUGAAUCACCAGAGGUCAGGAGUUCGAGACCAACUUGGUCAACUUAGUGAAACUUCGUCUCUACUGAAAAUACAAAAAAAUUUAGCUGGGUGGGCAUGGUGGCAGGUGCCUGUAAUUCCAGGUACUUGGGAGGCUGAGGUGGGAGAAUUGUUUGAACCCGGGAGGCAGAGGAUACAAUGAGCCAAGUUCGUGCCACUGGAUGUUAGCCUGGGUGACAGAAAAAAAAAAAAAGACAAAAAAAAAAAAAAGAAUAAACCUGGUAUCAUAUAUGUAGCACACAUAUUACCAGUGAUCAUCUUUGUGAUUCUAUGGGAAUAUGGGAAAUCCUCAUUUUCUACAUUACAUAUUUACAUGAUGCUUGAAUUGAAGAGAAAACCAAUACGGAUAUUUUUUAAAUUGUGGUUGUGGAGGGCAAUACUAACUUAUUCAAGAUUAUUCCUAGUAAAGGGCUACUCAAAAUUUACUGGUUUGAAAACUUUGUUAUCACCUGAUAAUUGAGAGCAUUUGGGAACUCUUACAGCAAGUUGAUAUUGCCCAGACUUCCAGAAGUGUCAUCAGUAGAUGGUUCUUGUUGAACAGGGUAUAGACCGCCUUGGGUUACUGAACUUGCAUGGCUAGUUGCAUGUAAACUAGUCACAUGCAGUAAAACCACAUACCACACCAGGCGCAGUGGCUCAAACUUGUAAUCCCAGCACUUUAGAAGGUGGAAGCAGGUGGAUCACCUGAGGUCAGAAGUUCAAAACCAGCCUGGCCAACAUGGUGAAAACCCUUUUCUACUAAAAAUACAAAAGUUAGCCAGGUGUGGUGGCACAUGUCUGUAAUUCUGGCUAUUUGGGAGGCUGAGGUGAGAGAAUUGCUUGAACCUGGGAGGCAGAGGUUUCAGUGAGCCGAGAUUGUGCCACUGCACUCCAGGCUGAGUGACAGAGUGUGUCUCCAUCUCAAAAAAAAAAAAAAAAACACAAAAAAAAGGAUGCCAAAUCAAACAUAACAUUUUAGAAAUCUAUCAUAGGAUAGCCAGGCACGGUGGCUCAUGCCUGUAAUCCCAAAUCCCAGCACUUUGAGAGGCUGAGGCAGGCAGAUUAUGAGGUCAGGAGAUCAAGACCAUCCUGCCCAACAUGGUGAAACCCCGUCUCUACUAAAAAUACAAAAAUUAGCCUGGUGCAGUGGUGGGUGCCUGUAGUCCUAGCUACUCAGGAGACUAAGGCAGGAGAAUCACUUGAACCCGGGAGGUGCAGGUUGCAGUGAGCCAAGAUCACCCAGCCUGGGCAGCAAGAGCGAAAACUCUGUCUCCAAAAAAAAAAAAAAAAAAAAAUCUAUCAUAGGAUUAUAUGAGGAGACCAAUUUUAUUUAUAUAGGAACUAUCUGUCUUUUUACUAGAUCUCUGAGCUCUGGGCAGAGCCCACACUGAUUCCUGGGAUCUCCAAAAAGGGAGCAUUAUUACGAGGCUAGAAUAUGUGAUGCUUUUUCAGUGCACUUAAAAAAUUUUUUUAAAUGAAGACACUUCUGUGUCCGGAAUUGGUGGGUUCUUCGUCUCACUGACUUCAAGAAUGAAGCUGCAGACCUUCGCGAUGAGUGUUAGAGCUCAUAAAGGCAGUGCGGACCCAAAGAGUGAGCAGCAGCAAGAUUUAUUGCAAAGCGCAAAAAAACAAAGCCUCCACAGUGUGGAAGGGGACCUGAGCUGGUUGCUGCCCCUGGCUGGGGCAGCCUGCUUUUAUUCCCUUAUCUGACCCUAUCUCCUAUUACAAAUAGUAGGAGGCCGGGCAUAGUGGCUCACGCCUGUAAUCCCAGCACUUUGGGAUUCUGAGAUGGGUGGAUCACCUGAGGUCAAGAGUUCAAGACCAGCCUGAUCAACAUGGCAAAACCCCAUCUCUAUAAAAAUACGAAAAUUAGCUGGGCAUGGUGGCACAUGCCUAUAGUCUCAGCUACUCGGGAGGCUUAGACAAGAGAAUUGCUUGAACCCGGGAGGUGGAGGAGAUCGCACCACUACACUCCAAUCUUGGCGACAGAGCAAGACUCUGUCUCAAAAAAAAAAAAAAAAGAUUUUUUUAGAUGUUCCCACUUUAUACCAAAAUCUAUGUGGCCACACAAUAAAGCCCUUCUUUGCUAGCUCCAUGGUGAACCUCCUUGUGAUCUUUUCCAAUUCAUUAUCCUGUAAAAUAAGAAAACAAUAAAAAUAAGAUAUAAAAAUCGCUUGAGAUUAUAGCUAGCAUCUUAUUUUCUAUUUAUAGUACAUUCUCAUAUGUCUUCUCUUGUAAUCCUUAGAACAACUCAUAAAGUAGGCAUUGCCAUUUUAAAGGUGAGGAAAUAAGGGAUCAAAAAAGUAGAUUAUAAAAACAGGAUAGUAGAACUAGGACUCAAAUUCCCAUUCUAUUAAUUCCCCACUGAAAAAUAUACUAAGUCUUUUUUUUUUUUUUUUUUUUUGAGAUGGAGUCUUGCUCUCUCGCCCAGGCUGGAGUGCAGUGGCGCGAUCUCGGCUCACUGCAAGCUCCGCCUCCCGGGUUCACGCCAUUCUCUUGCCUCAGCCUCCCGAGCAGCUGGGACUACAGGUGCCCGCCACCACACCCAGGUACUUUUUUUUUUUUGUAUUUUUUAGUACAGACGGGGUUUCACCAUGUUAGCCAGGAUGGUCUCGAUCUCCUGACCUCGUGAUCUGCCCGCCUUGGCCUCCCAAAGUGCUGGGAUUACAGGCGUGAGCCACCACGCCUGGCCUACUAAAUCUUAAUUAAGAUUAAUUGAAAUAUAAUUAUAUUCCAUGUAAAUGGUGAAUUUUAAAGAGAAUAAAAAUCAUACGCGUUUAUGUUUGUAUACAGAUAAUUUAGUAUUAUGUAAAGCAUUGUGACAACCAGUUUGAAUUUGCUUGGAACUGACAGGAUAAAAAGUAAGGUUUUUAUAGGCUUAGUUAAGAUAUUUGUCUAGAAUGAAAUCCUGACUUAAAAACUUCAGAUCACAGUAAUACUUUUUUUCUUUUUGAGACAGAGUCUUUCUCUGUUGCCGAGGGUGGAGUACAGCAGUGAAAUCUCGGCUCACUGCAACCUCUGCCUCCUGAGUUCAAGCAAUUCUCAUGCCUGAGCCUCCCAAGUAGCUGGGAUUACAGGUGCGCACCACUACGCCUGAUUAAUUAGAUCACAGUAAUUCUUAAAUAUGGGUUUAAGUGUCUAACAAUAUGAAAAUAUUAAUUACCUUUUUAAUAAGUAAGAACAUAAUAAUACAAAAAGCAAAAAAAUAAUACAAGACUCAUAAAAACAAAACCAAACAAAACAAAAUGAUAAAGGAUAUAGAUAUUAAGUAGGUGACCUUUAUAUGGCAAAACACUCAAUGAGUUAAUUCUUUACUUUUUUCAUUCCAUUUGAAAAGCAAUGGGGACCAUUGAUCUCACUGAUAUGGGGGAUACAGAGAAGCCCAGUAAUUUCAAGUCCUUCAUAAAUGCACUGUGUGCACAAAUAUCACUUUGAGGCCGGGUGCGGUGGCUCAUGCCUGUAAUCCCAGCACUCUGGGAGGCCAAGGCGGGCAGAUCACCUGAGGUCAGGAGUUCAAGACCAGCCUGGCCAACAUGCUGAUACCGCCUCCCCUACUAAAAAUACAAAAAUUAGUUGGGCAUGGUGGCAUGCACCUGUAAUCCUAGUUACUGAAUCAAGGAGAAUCGCUUGAAUCCGGGAGACGGAAGUUGCAGUGAGCCGAGAUUGCACCAUUGCACUCCAGCCUGGGCGACAGAGCAAGACUCUGUCUCAGAAAAACAAAAACAACAACAAAAAAAAACAAGUAUCACUCUCAUAUUUACAGUAUAGUUCUUGGGAUUGAUCUUAACACCAGCUUUAGCACCCCCAAAUGGCACAUCUGAAAGACAAGGCUGAUGGUUGUUAUUCCAUAUAAAGGUUAAAAAAGUAAAAUGACAGAAAAUGCCACACAAUAUUAGAAAAACGUGUGAUGCUUUAAGCUUGAAUUUCUGAAAGUUCAAGAAAUAAACCUACCAUAGUUUUCUAAACUGUACUUUAAACAACAUUUUAUUGAACAGAAAUUGUUCAAUAAAAUUGGCUAGCCAAGUUCUAAUAUAUAUAUUUUAUAUAAUUAAUAAUAAUUAACCAAUAAUAAUAAAUACUUCAACCUCUAAUCCAUAGAUUGCAAAUACAAUGAUAGCUUAUUUUCUUGGGGAACAGCAGUUGGUGGGGACAGAGGGAAUGGGAAAAGGACUUUUGCUGAAAGGAGGGAUGACAGGAACACAAGGCUAUGGGUGAAAAGAAGAACAAAUAGAACAAACAGCAGAGAGGGCAGCUGGCCGGGGUGGGGUGGGCGCCUCCCUGGCCUUGCUCCAGGACUCAGGACUGGGUCCUGCCUGGGCCACCCCUCCUGCCAAGGCCCUGGCCUCUUCCCAGGGUGACUGGUCCACUCCUAGACCCUAGAACAUCUGAAGGGCAGGGGUCCCAAUGGCCUGAGAGGGUAUGGGCCAGGGGCAGCAGGCUGACCCACCUGGGCCCAAAAGCCACCUGUGUUUGGGGGCCGGCAUGCUGUCUAGAGAGAGUGCCCUGGGAAAGGGGCACACGGGAGUUUCUCUCCUGAGAAGCCCCCAUGCAGGUCGGGGCAAAGGAGAGGGCUUUAUCUGCCUUGAGGGCAGCGCUCCCUAAGUGAAGCAGGCCUACCCCAGAAGCACAGGGACUUGGCUGGCGCCUGAACUUCCUGUGCGAAGCAGCACCUGCUCUUGGAGCCCCUUAGCCUGCUGGUGCACACCUGGUUUCCAAGUCCUGCCUGGGGACUUGCUAGGUGGGGGACGGACCUGGAACAGGACCCUAAGCCCACCCCCUCCGCAUACCUGGCGGUCCAGGGCUCCCCGCCCAGUGGAGCCAGCACAGGCUAGCCAGGCCCCACUCCUGCGUCACCCCCGGAGGCCAAGCUCCUCUCCUGCACUGGUGCCGUCCUGCCUGGCAGGUAGUUCUGGGGGCAGGGUCAAAGGAGAAGGGAGGGCCGCAGCCCUCUGGGAAUGGCCUUUCUGAGCCACCAGUGGCUGGACUGGGGCUCUGGCAGGAGUUGGGGACAUUAACAACACCCCCAUCCUCCCCUGGGCUCCACCUCAUCUGACGCUCCAGAACCCCCUGCCCCAAGCCCCUACACACUCUGUUCUAUUCCUCAGCCCCUCUCAACGUCCUGGCACCAUGGGGCCCAAUGCCUGUCCUCCCUUGAGAAGGAACAGCUCUGGGGCAACGGGCAGCGGGGUGCCCUCCCUGCCACCAAGAUUUGGUGCCUGGAGCUGGUGGAGGGCUGGCCGCAUCUCUCUGGCACACCAGCUCCUGCUCCCCCAACCUAUGGCUUUGGGGCAGAGCCUGAAGGGAGGAAGAAGGUGGGGGGGGGGGUCCGCGGCUGUUUGUGGCAAAUAAGCUUUUUUUUUUUCCUUUUUUAAUCCUUUUUCUUAUGUAAAAAGUGCACAAAAGCUCGGCAGCCUUUGCAAGUGUCAGCAGUGUUUCCUGGGGUGGGGGAACUGGGAGGGGCACCAGGCCUGGCACCCACCUUGCGACUGAAGGUGGCCUCGUAUUGCUUAGAAAGGUAUGUUUCAGUUUAAAUACCAGACAGUAAAAAUAGAGCUCGAGGACCACCUGCACUGUUGCCAAAUCAUUGCCAGAAUGAAUAGCUUAAAUAAAUAAAAAAUAGAAAUAUUUACUUCUCAAUAAAAAUAAAAGUAAAACCAUUUACCUUUCUUUGCAUUAUAUAUAAUAUAUAUUUAUAACGGGUCUGGCUGUGGGCAGCGGAGCUAAGGGCAGCGGAGGGGUCAGGACAUCUCGAUGACCUCCACGCUGCCCGAGAAGCUCGCCUGCUUGCCCAUGGCGGCCAGCUCCUCGCCGCGAGUGCGCCCCUCCAGGAUGCCCUCCUCGAACUCCAUCUGGCAGCUGCAGCGCUUGAUCUGCGUCUCCGUCUCCGGGGCGGCUCGUCGGGCCAGUUGGUCCGCGCGUCCCGGGGCUCAGCCCUUGCUGCCUCCGGCCGCCGCAGGUCGCUGCCGCCGCCCCGUCUCGGGGCGCCCGCCUGGCCAAAGGGCGCGAACAGCACCCCGCCCGCCCCCUGCGCGCCCUCGGGGCUGAAGCACUAGGGCCCGUCGGGCGACGGCGUGCCCGGGGAGUCAAGCGGUGGCGCCCAGACUCCGGGGCCGGCUGGCCAGGGCCGGGCAGCCUGGGCGCCGACAGGGCCGAGAGGCCGAGGCUGUGCGCGGGGGAGCGGGGAGCCGGCUGGGGGCCUGGGCCGCCCGCAGGGCCGUGGGCGCGCGGCAUCCGGGCUGUCGGGGCUGGGCGAAGGUAGGCUCAGCGUGGCUCCGACGGGCCGUGCAGCUUGCAGAGCUUUGGGACCUCGCCGGGGUCGGGUGACCCGGGGCCGUUGGGCCGCCGGCCGGGGGUGUUCGCUGAUUUGAUGUACAGCGAGAAGGAGCGCUUGAGGCGGUUGGUGUCCUGCAGGCGGUCAGAGGAGAGUACAGGCCGCGCAGCCCUGCUGCAGCGCGCAGGUGUCUGGGGGCGUGGGGGGCAGUGGGGGCUCCCCGCCCGCGCUCAGGCCGCCCUCCCUGGCAGCUGCACUCCCGGUGGCAGCGCUUUCUGAGGUAGGUGGUGGCAGCCAUGGCAGCCGGGCCCCAGCCGCAGGGCUGGGCGGAGGCUCCGGCGUCCCUGAGGGGGUGCCCGCAUCCCCCUGCACGGUGGCCAGCAGCUUCAGGCUGCGCUCCUACUCCAGCAGCUGGCCCAGGAAGUUGAAGUUGGGCGAGAUGGACUGGCGCCUAUCCUUCAUGAACCUGUAGGUGUCGUCGGAGGAUAUGCCCAUGGUCUUCAUGAUGUAGGCGAUGGCGAUGGUGGCAGAGUGGGAGAUACCGACCAGACAGUGGACGAUGACUUGGCAGCUGGACAGCUUGCCUUUACAGAUGAACUCCAUAGACUUGUCCAGCCAGGGCAGCAGCUUUUCACAGUAGUUGUCGUUGAUGGGGACCCGCAUGAAGCGGCUCUCGCAGAUGAAGUCAGGCUUGGGGCAGGAGUUGCUGGCAUUGAGGACGUAGCUUAUUCCAUUCUGUGUCGUCAGAUCCUUGUUCAGAACGUCUUUCUGCGAGCCCAGGUAGAGGUGAGGCAGGAUGAGGGUCAGGCUCACGCUAGGCACGGGCAGGCAGGGCUGGGAGAGGCUCAUGGGUAGCAGGGCAGCAGGCUUGCCCUGGCAGAGGCUGGGGAAGCAGGAGGAGAAGGUGGCGAAGCCCCCCGUGAGGAUGGCCACGCUGUCGAAGCAGCUGUCCAGCUUGCUCAGCAGGAUGGAGAGGAAGCGGUCUGCGGCCAGCACACUGGCGUCCCGUGUGCUCUGGUCAUAGACCACCAUAUCCUGUGGCUCAGUGGCCUCCAUUUGGCUGCGUGUGGCCAGCCAGAUGAACUCUGCAAUGGUCACCUUGCCCUUCUGCAGCCGGCACUUCACCAGCUUGGAGCAGCAGAUGUUGACGGAGCUGAGCACAUGCCAGCUGUUGUACUCCAGGAAGGAGCGGCUGUAGAUGACCAGGCACCCUAGGCCCGCCCCGCAGCAGGCUGGCCAGCUUCUUGGCGUCCAUCAUCUUCCUCGGGAGCCGGUCUCCGGCCAUGGUGGGGCAAUGGGUGGUGGGGAGGGUGACCCCUGACGUGAGGAGGGGUUGCUCGGAUGGCCCAAGUGUGGCCUUGCACUGGGAGUGACCUAGCACAUGGUGCCGGACCUCGUUAGCGCUCGCCUCGGGGGGCGUUCCGGGGGACCCGCGCUGCCCUCGCCAGCUCGGCUGCGCCGACCAUGGGCCCUUUGGCGGGGGCCCGCGCAGCCAAGGCAGGGGCGGGGUCUCUAAUAUAGAGUUAAUCAGUGCUCUUUACAACUUCUAAAAGAUAAUAGCUUAUUUACUAUCCUUCUACUAUAAUUUGGUCUUAUUUAUAGAAUAUGUUGAGGAAUUGAAAACAAAGAUCUAGACUUAAAAUUCAAUAAGCUCCUAUAAAAAAAAUCCCUCACAUAAAAAAAGGCUAUAUAUUAAUUUAGACUAAUUGAAAAAUGAUGCAGGUCUUAAAGAGGACAACUUAAAAAAAAUCAGUUCUGAUAAGGUAUAUUUCUAUAGCAUCUUAACAGUAACCAUGUGAGUAAACAUAUUUCCCCAGAGUUCUCAUUAGGUAGCAAGAAAGGCGAUCACUUACCAACCACUGCACACUUGUAUGUCAUCAGGGAAGCCAAAGUUUUUACUUCAUCUACACUCACAUCAAUGCUGUAAUGGAUAUUUGGUGGUGUUUUUUUUAAAAAUGUGUUGGGGUAGGUGAGAAAGAAGGGGAUAUAUUUAGAACAAACUUCAGUAAGUUUCAAAAAAGAAAGCUACAAAUUGAAAAUAUCCACUUUUUACAUUUUACACCCAAGCUAUGUCCAAAAACACUUGAAGCAGCUCAUAUGUCAGAACACCAUAAAAAAUGAAUAUAAAACGUUUAAAAAACUGCUAAUAACAGUAACUAUGAUUUCACAAGACAAAAAUCACUGUGCAAUGAAUUUUUUUACACUUUCCAGAAGGCUUUUUUAUGUUCCUUUUACCUUUUGGUUUGGGUGACUCCGGGGUGGCCAGGACCAAAUGUGUCUCCUUCUGGCUUUUUGCACCACACCAAGUAACCCGCGCCAGGCCGCACAGCUGCCCUGGCCUUGGGGAGGACUAAGGCAAGGGCGGUGUACGCUGCUCCGGAGUCCCACCGCAGGAGUUGAGGCAGCGAGUUCCGAGGGCGGGGUGGGGCGGAAUCGGGAGGGAUACGGACCCGGUGGAACGCACUGCGUAGACGGCGCCGGCGCCCGCACUCAGCUGUUGACAGUCUUUCUUCCAGCUCUCCCCUGAAAGUCGUCCAGGCGCCGGUCUCUUUUUUCUGCCUUUUUGUUUCCCUCCGGAGAGUCGGCGCGACGGUGAAUUUCCGUUUCCGGUGGUGUCCAAUCCGACCUGAGGAGUCACAGUUGUGAGCAAAUUAGAAUUACUUGUUAUUGGUAAAUAGCCACUAUGGAGACUAAGGACCAGAAGAAACAAAGAAAGAAAAAUAGUGGACCCAAAGCUGCAAAGAAAAAGAAGCGGCAUCUGCAGGAUCUCCAGCUAGGAGACGAAGAAGAUGCCUGGAAGAGAAAUCCCAAAGCUUUUGCAUUUCAGUCUGCUGUGUGGAUGGCUCGAUCCUUUCACAGGACUCAGGAUUUGAAGACAAAAAAGCAUCAUAUUCCAGUGGUUGAUCGAACUCCACUAGAGCCCCCACCAAUAGUGGUAGUGGUGAUGGGGCCUCCAAAGUUGGAAAGAGCACUUUGAUACAAUGCCUCAUUCGGAACUUCACCCGGCAGAAGUUGACCGAGAUCAGAGGCCCUGUGAUGAUCGUGUCAGGUAAAAAGCUCCGACUCACCAUUAUUGAAUGUGGGUGUGACAUUAACAUGAUGAUUGAUCUGGCUGAAGUAGCAGAUCUGGUACUGAUGCUUAUAGAUGCCAGCUUUGGGUUUGAAAUGGAAACGUUUGAGUUUCUAAACAUCUGUCAAGUACAUGGCUUUCCUAAAAUUAUGGGAGUUCUCACCCACCUCGACUUCUUCAAACACAAUAAGCAACUGAAGAAGACAAAGAAGCGAUUAAAACACAGGUUCUGGACAGAAGUUUACCUGGUUGCCAAGCUGUUCUGCCUUUCUGGAAUGGUGCAUGGAGAAUAUCAAAACCAAGAAAUGCACAAUCUGGGCCAUUUUAUUACAGUUAUGAAGUUUAGGCCUCUCACAUGGCAGACUUCUCAUCCUUAUAUCCUGGCAGACAGGGUGGAAGAUUUGACAAACCCAGAGGAUAUCCAAACAAACAUCAGAUGUGACCAGCAGAUGUUACUUUACGGUUAUUUAAGAGGAGCGCACUUGAAAAAUAAAAGCCAAAUUCACAUGCCAGGACGAGGUGGGGCCCACCCAUGAGCUGGUCCAGAGUCUCAUCUCCACCCACUCCACCAUUGAUGCCAAGAUGGCUUCAAGUCGAGUGAUGUUGUUUUCUGAUUCCAAGCCACUUGGGUCAGAGGCUAUAGAUAAUCAAGGGUAAGUCUGCUUUUUUUCUAUUUUUAAUAAAAAUAUAUAUUACAGAAGAUCAUAUCACCCAUAAUUCUGCCAUCAUAACACAUUUUGGUGGGAUUCAUUCUAUGUUGUUUUGUUUUUCUUUGUGUGUGCAUGUGUCUCUGAGGGCUCUUCACUUACCUGACAUUAUGAGGGAGUCUUUUCUUGAAAUAAAAUACAGGAUGCAUUUUUCAAGAGACCCCAAAUAUUCCUCAAAUACCACGCCAUCUUCCAUAGGUUGCUUUUUUGUUUUUUAAGAGACCUGAGGCCACUUGGCUUUCUUUUGGUGGCCAAAACACUAGAGCAGAAACAGGGAGUUUGUGGCUGUCCAGAAGCCACAUGCCUUGUCUCUGAAAGUUUUAUUUAGAUUAUGUUGUAUUAUCUCCUAUGGGUAGGUUUCCACUGAUGUGUGGCUUAUGUGAAUUAUUUUUCAGCCUUUCUUGGGAAUUUGUAUACCUUUAUGCUUAGUGGAUGUUUGCAAAACAUUGGUUUUGUUGUAUUAGUUUAUGACUCCCAGUAAAAUUUAUCUGAAAAUUUUGAGAUAAUCUAGUAUGUAAUUUGUUACAAUGUGCACAAACUACGUACUAAAGUUCCUGACAUAAUGAGUGUUAUUAGCUAUUUUCAUUUUUGCAUAUCCUUCUGGUCAUCCUUGUCUACAAGAAUACUCUCUUCUAAUAUAGUUACAGGUAAAAUACAUAAUUUAUUUCUAUAUUCUGAGCGUUUUGUUUUCUAUACAGUCUUUAUGUAGUUGUCAUUUUGUUGUUCCUGGUGUUUUUUUUUGUUACUGUGGUUUUUUUGUUUUGUUUUGAGAUAAGAUCUCACUUUGUCUCCCAGGCUGGAGUGCAGUGGCGUGAUCUUGGCUCACUGCAGCCUUGAACUCCCAGGCUCAAGUGGAUCCUCCCUCUUCAGCCCCGCAAGUAGCUGGGACUACAGGAGUGCACCACCACCCCCAUCUAAUAUUUUUUUGUUGUUAUUCUAGGGACGAGUUCUCACUAUGUUGCCCAGGCUGGCCUCGAACUCCUGGGCUCAAGCAAUCCUCCUGCGUUGGCCUCCCAAAGUCCUGGGAUUACAGGUGUAAGCCACUACGGCUGGCCUAUUAUUGCUGUAUUCUAACUUAUUCAUCUCCUAUGCUAGGCUAGCCUCCAAGCUGGAAGCUGAAUUGACAGUUGAAAAAUAAUGACAUGUAUACAAGUGUCAGAGAUGGCUUUGGAUUCCCCGUUCUGUGUGCUGCUGUCUGGCUCCUGAACCCAGCUGUAGAGGUGUGUCAAUCCCAACUGGUGAAGUACUGAGAGGAAGCUACACAAAAGGCAGCAAAGUAUUAGUGAGUGGUGUCAUUGAGCAAACACGAAGUCGGGCUCAUCCAAGGAUGAGAUUUUGCCAGAGAAAGGACGAGCAGCAAGUCAGGGAGCUUAAGCGUCAGCCUCGAGUUUGACCAGCAACAGGGGUCGGUGUGUCCCUCUGAAUCUGAGAUCUAUGAGGCAGGAGCUGGGGACAGGAUGGCAGGAGCGCCCAUGGCUGCUGCUGUGCAGCCUGCUGAGGUGACCGUUGAAGUUGGUGAGGACCUCCACAUGCACCACAUUCGUGACCAGGAGAUGCCUGAAGGUAAGGAGGUGAUAGGUGCCAUCUACCCUCGGUUUGCCUCUGGCUGCUGCUGUCCCCAAGGUUCCCUUUACGGCAUCCCCCACUUUGAGCUCCUUUCUGCUUGUAGCCAGCUUUCCCGGGGGCUGGCCAGGAACAAAAGCUGGCUCUGCCUUGAAUUCCCACCCCUUAGUCUUUCCUCACCGAGUCCAGUCAGUUUCUUUUCGCCUCCCCUCCCAAUCGCCCAGUUCUUGCUCUCUCAUCUCAUUCUCCCAGGCUGGCAUGGGACCAUUUAUUUAUGGCUCUUGUCAAAUAAGCAGCAGUUGAAUAAAUGAGUUGAUAAAUUUUUAUAAAUGAUUACAUCUUUUUUCUUUUCUCCCUCUAUACAUAUAGCUUUGGAGUUUAGCCUUUCUGCCAAUCCAGAGGCAAGCACAAUAUUCCAGAGGAACUCUCAAACAGAUGCUUUGGAGUUUAACCCUUCUGCCAAUCCAGAGGCAAGCACAAUAUUCCAGAGGAACUCUCAAACAGAUGUUGUAGAAAUAAGAAGAAGCAACUGUACAAACCAUGUAUCUACUGAGCGUUUCAGUCAACAAUACAGCUCGUGUUCGACAAUAUUCCUUGAUGACAGCACAGCCAGCCAGCAUUAUCUUACAAUGACAAUAAUAUCUGUGACCUUGGAGAUACCUCAUCAUAUCACACAAAGAGAUGCAGAUAGAUCUUUGAGCAUACCUGAUGAACAGUUACACUCAUUUGCGGUUUCCACCGUGCACAUUACGAAGAACAGAAAUGGAGGUGGGAGUUUAAAUAACUAUUCCUCCUCCAUUCCAUCGACUCCCAGCACCAGCCAGGAGGACCCUCAGUUCAGUGUUCCUCCCACUGCCAACACACCCACCCCCGUUUGCAAGCGGUCCAUGCGCUGGUCCAACCUGUUUACAUCUGAGAAAGGGAGUCACCCAGACAAAGAGAGGAAAGCCCCGGAGAAUCAUGCUGACACCAUCGGGAGCGGCAGAGCCAUCCCCAUUAAACAGGGCAUGCUCUUAAAGCGAAGUGGGAAAUGGCUGAAGACAUGGAAAAAGAAAUACGUCACCCUGUGUUCCAAUGGCGUGCUCACCUAUUAUUCAAGCUUAGGUGAUUAUAUGAAGAAUAUUCAUAAAAAAGAGAUUGACCUUCGGACAUCUACCAUCAAAGUCCCAGGAAAGUGGCCAUCCCUAGCCACAUCGGCCUGUGCACCCAUCUCCAGCUCUAAAAGCAAUGGCCUAUCCAAGGACAUGGACACCGGGCUGGGUGACUCCAUAUGCUUCAGCCCCAGUAUCUCCAGCACCACCAGCCCCAAGCUCAACCCGCCCCCCUCUCCUCAUGCCAAUAAAAAGAAACACCUAAAGAAGAAAAGCACCAACAACUUUAUGAUUGUGUCUGCCACUGGCCAAACAUGGCACUUUGAAGCCACGACGUAUGAGGAGCGGGAUGCCUGGGUCCAAGCCAUCCAGAGCCAGAUCCUGGCCAGCCUGCAGUCAUGCGAGAGCAGUAAAAGCAAGUCCCAGCUGACCAGCCAGAGCGAGGCCAUGGCCCUGCAGUCGAUCCAAAACAUGCGUGGGAACGCCCACUGUGUGGACUAUGAGACCCAGAAUCCUAAGUGGGCCAGUUUGAACUUGGGAGUCCUCAUGUGUAUUGAAUGCUCAGGAAUCCACCGCAGUCUUGGCACCCGCCUUUCCCGUGUGCGAUCUCUGGAGCUGGAUGACUGGCCAGUUGAGCUCAGGAAGGUUAUGUCAUCUAUUGGCAAUGACCUAGCCAACAGCAUCUGGGAAGGGAGCAGCCAGGGGCAGACAAAACCCUCAGUAAAGUCCACGAGGGAAGAGAAGGAACGGUGGAUCCGUUCCAAAUAUGAGGAGAAGCUCUUUCUGGCCCCACUACCCUGCACUGAGCUGUCCCUGGGCCAGCACCUGCUGCGGGCCACCGCUGAUGAGGACCUGCAGACAGCCAUCCUGCUGCUGGCACAUGGCUCCCGUGAGGAGGUGAACGAGACCUGUGGGGAGGGAGACGGCUGCACGGCGCUCCAUCUGGCCUGCCGCAAGGGGAAUGUGGUCCUGGCACAGCUCCUGAUCUGGUACGGGGUGGACGUCAUGGCCCGAGAUGCCCACGGGAACACAGCGCUGACCUACGCCCGGCAGGCCUCCAGCCAGGAGUGCAUCAACGUGCUUCUGCAGUACGGCUGCCCCGACGAGUGCGUGUAGUAUCUGUUUUAUUUGACUGCAGUCUCCUUGGUGCAAAAACAAAAUGGGAAAAAUAAGGAUAACUCAGAAUUUCAAAAGGAAAUCACAAAUUCAGCUAGUAAUAGCAUUUUCAGUACUUUUCAUAAACUAAGUAAAUACACAAAAUGUUGAUUUUUCUGACCAUAAGACAUAUUUUAUGUCCUUUUGCCAAGGUGGAUGUGUUAGUCUCAGGCCCUCCUGGCCACAUUGCCCAAGUCACACAGGCUUCUGUAUUAUGUAUUUAGAUAAAAUGUGUGAAAAUAUAUUUGAAAAAAAAGUUCAUAAAUAUGCAUUGAUUUUUGUACACAUGGCACCUCUUUUUCAUUUUUAUUUUUAUUUUUUUUUUGGACGAUGUUUUGCUCUGUUGCCCCAGCUGGAGUGCAGUGGCAUGAUAUCUGCUCACUGCAAGCUCUGCCUCCCGGAUUCACACCAUUCUCCUGCCUCAGCCUCUCAGGUAGCUGGGACUACAGGUGCCUGCCACCACACCUGGCUAAUUUUUUGUAUUUUUAGUAGAGACGUGGUUUCACCAUGUUAGCCAGGAUGGUCUCGAACUCCUGACCUCGUGAUCCACCUGCCUCGGCCUCCCAAAGUGUUGGGAUUACGGGCGUGAGCCACCGUACCCGGCCCAUGGCACCUCUCUUAAUUUAUAAAUUGAACUGGAUGUGAAGUAAUAAUGUCAGCUAGUUGAGAUAAGAGGGUUACAGUUCGGCUGGGCGCAGUGGCUCACACCUGUAAUCCUAGCACUUUGGGAGGCUUAGGCGGACUGAUCACCAGGUCAGGAGAUUGAGACCAUCCUGGCUAACAUCAUGAAACCCCAUCUCUACUAAAAAAUACAAAAAAUUAGCUGGGCAUGGCCGGGCGUGGUGGCUCACACCUGUAAUCCCAGCACUUUGGGAGGCCGAGGCAGGCGGAUCACGAGGUCAGGAGAUCAAGACCAUCCUGGCUAACAUGGUGAAACCCCGUCUCUACUAAAAAUACAAAAAAAAAAAAAAAAAUUAGCCAGGUGUGGUGGCAGGCACCUGUAGUCCCAGCUACUCGGGAGGCUGAGGCAGGAGAAUGGUGUGAACCCAGGAGGCGGAGCUUGCAAUGAGCUGAGAUUGCACCACUGCACUCCAGCCUGGGCAACCAAGCGAGACUCCAUCUCAAAAAAAAAAAAAAAAUUAGCUGGGCAUGGUGGCGGGCACCUGUAGUCCCAGCUACUUGGGAGGCUGAGGCAGGAGAAUGGCAUGAACUCAGGAGGCAAAGCUUGCAGUGAGCAGAGACUGUGCCACUGCACUCCAGCCUGGGCAACAGAGCGAGACUCUGUCUCAAAAAAAAAAAAGAAAAGAAAAAGAGGGUUACAGAUCAUUGCACAUGGAAAAUAUUCCCAGCAGUAAACACUUCCAUUAAUGUGAUCUACAGCUUUUAAAAAGGAGCAUCUCAGAAUAAGAUGGUGGUACAAUUUGCUUAUUGAGAAAGGAAAAAAAAAACACACGAGUAUAUUACAAAGGGAAAAGAAGGAAUGUGAUUUCUCAUGAUUGAAAGCUUGAUUUAGAUUGCAUACAGCUUUUGCUACCCAAGACCAAGCGGCUCUGGCAAGACAGGGUGGUUUUCCGAAUGCCAGACCGAGGUGCCUUAUGAAGGCAGCUGCCGAUGGUUCCAGAUGUAGAGAGAUAGGUGAUGCAGGAGGGAAAGCUGGAUUGGAAAAGGGAGAGUUUUGUAGACCGGCUACACUCAUUGUGCCUUUGAAAGAGCAGAGCCGGCAGCCUCUAGUCAUCAUUUGGAUAUACAGGACUGGAGCAUGAAUCUGAUGUAGAGCUACAGAAUGAAGAGCAACAGCAGCUGUUUAAAUACCGAGAAAGUGUGUAGAAUGAAAUUGGACAAGCCAAGCAUGGUGGUUUCAUGCCUUUAGUCCUAGCUACUUCGGAGGCUGAGGUGGGGGAAUUACUUGAGCUCAGCAGUUUGAGUCCAGCCUGGGCCAGAUGUUGAGACCCUGUAUCUUAAGAAAAGAAAAAAAUAAGACCAGGUACAGUAUCUCAUGCCUGUAAUCCCAGCACUUUGGGAGGCCAAGUUGAGAGGACUGCUCGAGUGUAGGAGUUCAAGACCAGACUGGGCAAUAAAGUGAGACCCAUUUCUUUUUUUUUUUUUUUUAACUUCUUAAAUGCACAAAUUUAUUUUUUCUCAACAAACACACAUCUUAAUGCCUUUACAACUUUUAUCUCCCCAAAUAUAUCUUGCUUUUCUUUAUAUGUGCUGUAUACAGAGUUGUUUUCCUUAUAUUUAGUAGUUAUUGCUUUUUUGUGCCCUUUUGCGUCCUGAAUUUACACAUCAGGCAUAGAUCUUGGGACAGGAAAGAGCUGUGAAGCAAAUUCCUGGAAAAUCAAACCCCUUCCAGCAUGGCCAGGUAGCACAGCUGAGCCAGGGAUGAUGGGGCCAUAUUGGGUUUGGCUCUGCCUUGCAGCUGGCAGUCCAAACACUGAGGACAUGCAUAUUUCUGCAGGCCAGUGAGACCCAUUUCUACCAAAAAAAAAAAAAAAAAAUCAAGAAAUUAGCUGGACAUGGUGGCACAUGCCUGUGGCCCCAGUUACAUGGCAUGGCAGGCUGAGGCAGGAAGAUCACUUGAGCCCAGGAGGUGGAGGCUGCAGUGACCCAUAUACAUGCCACUGCACUCCAGCCUGGGCAACAGAGUGAGACCCUCUCUCAAAAACAGAUAAAGUGGACAGAAAAUAGGUUGGUAAGGACUAAUCAUUUAAGGGACAAGCCCCCAGAAGAGUGGCUACUAGAGUGGGAGGAGGAAAAGCAGAAGGAGAAAGAGUUGAAGACAGGCGAGGCUGUGGUCCCAGUGCUGAAUUCUGCCAAGCAGUGACUUGAUUCAUGAACACUCACUGGAUGCUGACUCUGUUGCUCUUCUGAGUGCUGGGGUAGAGGAGAGGAGAGGUGGAGCCCAGUUCUUGCUUUUAGGAGCUUAUGUUCUAGGAAGUUCAAGUAUUUUUUCAGGUAGUAUGAAAUAGCAGGAAGAGGAAGCAGGCUAAAGGGACACAGAGUGAUUGGGGGCUAUUUUAAGUAGAAUGAUAAGGAAGAGCCUGUCUAGAGAGCUAUUUGAACAAUGACCUGACUGAAGGGACAACAGAAAGCAGUGCUGACAUUACAGGUAGCAGGAUGACUGCCAAGACAGAAACGCAUUUCAUAUGUGUUUGAGGAACAAACAGCAAGGUGACCAGCAUGGGGAGAGUGAAGAAUGAGGGAAACCUUGAAUGAGAGUAAAGCAAUUCCAUCUUGGAGGCUAAUCUGCCAUAUUCUGAUUAAUCCCAGUUCCAAGAAUUCAUCUACAAUUUCUAUUUUAUCUUUUUAAAAAUAUUAUUUUUUAUUUUUUAUUUUUUGAGACAGUCUCACUCUGUCUCCCAGGUUGGACUGCAGUGGCACAAUCUCAGCUCACUGCAAACUUCACCUCCUGGGUUCAAGCGAUUCUCCUGCCUCAGCUUCCCGAGUAACUGGGAUUACAGGCGCCUGCCACCAUGCCUGGCUAAUUUUUGUAUUUUUAGUACAGAUGAGGUUUUACCAUGUUGGCCAGGCUGGUCUGGAACUCCUGACCUCAGGUGAUCCGCCCACCUUGGCCUCCCAAAGAGCUGGGAUUACAGGCGUGAGCCACCGUGUCUGGCCAUACACAUCCCUGCCGAAGCCCGCAUUACCCUUCCCCUAUGCUAUAGAAGCCCUGGGUCGGGGGGGUGGGGGUAAUGGCACAGGGAUCCACCAUCUUAUCUUGGUGCCAUCCCUGACUUGGCUUCUGUUCAUAAACGCCUAUUAAAUGUUUCUUUCUGAGAAACUGGAUUUGUCAGCCUCUUUCUUUGGUAUCUCAGGUUCCUUGGCCUUUGCGGGUAGGUUUAUAUAGACCUGCUCAGCACAGGACAGGCAGUUUCUCAAAAAAUUAAAAAUAGAAUUACCAAAUGAUCCAGCAAUAUCACUUCUGGGUAUAUAGCCAAAAUAAUUGAAAGCAAGGUCUCAUAGAAAUAUUUGUACACUGAUAUUUAUAGCAGUGGUAUUCACACUCAUCAAAAGAUGGAUGCAGCCUAAUUGUCCAUAGGCAGAUGAAUUGAUAAAAUGUGGUAUAUACAUACAAUAAAAUAUUCUUCAGCCUUAAAAAGGAAGGAAAUUCUAACACAUGCUACAACAUGGAUGAACAUUGAGGACAUUAUGCUAAGUGAAAUAAGCCAGUUAGAAAAAGACAAAUACUGUGUUCUUUCACUUAUGUGAAGCAUCCAGACUGAGUAAGCAAACUAAUAGAAACAGAAAGUAGAACGGGGGUUGCCAGGGACAUGGGGAAGGGAGAAAAUGGGAAGUUGCUUAGUGGAUAUAGAGUUUUGGUUUUGUCAGAUGAAAAAGUUCUGGAGAUUGGUUGCAUGGCAAUGUGAAUAUACUCUACAUUACCCAACCCAAGGGCUCUCCUUAACCCCUGUUCCGACUGCCACUUAGAAGUGGUUAAGGUAGUAAAUUUUAUGCAUAUUUUACCACAAUUCAAAAUAGAAUUAUUAUUUUUUUAUUAUAAUUUUUUGAGAUCCCUCACUCUGCUGCCCAGGCUGGAGUGCAAUGGCACCGUCUCGGCUCACUGCAACCUCUGC
rnacentral:lncRNA from 1 species